UGGAUUUCUUUCUUUUCUAAUCGUAGUUUCAUUCUGACCCUUCUCUUUUUUUCCUUCACACCUCAAGUCUGGAAACCCAAUCAAUAAGUUACAAGGUUCAUCACAACAAAAACAUUACUAUGAACACUUUUUCAUUGUCUGUCCUGGAUUAUUUUUUCUUUUCUAAUCAAAGUUUCAUUCUGUUCCUGCCCUUUUUUCCCGUCUCACCUCAGCAAGUCUGCAAACCCAAUCAAUAAGUUACUACGUUCACAACAAAGCAUUACUAUAAGAAACACACUCAUCUUACAUAUUUUUUUCUGAUCAAGUAUAGUUUCAUUCUGUUCCUUCUCUACUUUUCCUCAACAGCAAGUCUGGGAACCCAAUCAGUAAGUAACUAUGUUCACCACAACAGAACAUUACUAUAAGAAAUACACUAUCUUGCGUAUCUUCAUCAAUGUUUAGGCUGGAUACACUCGAGACCACUUCAGCUCUUGGUCUACAAAUUUGAAAUGGUUACCCCCAAAAAACUAUAAUAAACCUCAAUUCACUCGGGACCUGUUUUGAGCCUCCAGCCACAUGUCAUGGAGCUCUGAACUUAUAUUCAAGAUGCUGUUCAUUCCUACGUACAAACACCUUCGAAACACUGUCCAGGAUACUUUCACACACACACACACACACACACACACGACGCACAACCCUUGGCCCACAAAGAGCAAAACCUUCCUCUCAGUACAAAGGCAAAAUCAAUAACAAAGAAACACACUUCACCUUCCCAUCCAGACAUUCCUGAACUUGAAAUAAAGGCAGUAAAUACACAUAUGCAAACAUUUUCAUACCUAAUACCUCAAUGUCCUGGAAUCCUGCAUUUGAGAAGGUUAAGCGUGUUUUGAUAGGUUUCUCAAUAACCGCACACAAGACAAGGGUUCCAGAGCUAAGAAAAAGAAGCCCAACACAUAAUAAUCACUUUGGAAUACAAUAUUGCAGCAAAAGAAUCCAUAUUAUAGUAAUCCAGGUUAACUCUAGGAAUUUUAAAGUAAGAGAAAAAUCUAAUUCUACCUCAAUCCCAUUCUCUUGCGCCUCGAAGAAAAAGCUCACCUAGACGAAUGGUCCUCACUCGUCGCUUUAACAUAACAACAAACACUCCAGGUAUCAAGAGACCAGGGGUACCUUCCCUUAACUUAUAACCGAUGCUUUGGCUGAGGAAGGAAGGAAGGAGAGGGACACACAGGAGUCAACUGAAGGGUUACUGUGUUCGAUAAGGCAGGCAGGCCACCACUAGCCAAAGAAGCAGAAGGGGAGUCUAGAAAAUGUUGGCACAAAGUCGUAUUGGGAAUGUUUGUUAUGAGAACAUUCGUCACUGCUAGACAUUCACCAUUCUCUCUCGCUCUCACACUCUCUCGCUCUCUCUCAACUUCAACAUGAGGCAGCUAACCAUUAGUCUGUAUAGCUUAAGACAUUUACUCUCAUUUUUUUUACAUAUACACAAGUCAUUAGAAAUCUAUAGGACAGGAGGAAUGUCUAUAUGAAGAAUGUUGACAAUAAUUGAACAUGAAUAGGAUAAAAAAACAUGACAGGAACAAGGGGACUGUACAAUACACCUUUCUCAAAAAACGAAUUUGGACCAAAAUAAAACAAGUAGUACCAGUAACUUGAACAACAGUAUUAUUCAAAAAAUUUCAUUGGCAGCAUAAGUAUAUUUUGUUUUUGGUAGCAACUAGUAAUCAAGUACACAUAGGAAAUACUUCAGAAUUUUUUUUAGUAUACACCUCAAGCAGAUAUACUCUAUAAUCAUGGUAGAAAAUAAAGGAAAAAAAGAACGGAAGUGGCUCGGGACCACCUCGAUUCAUACAACACUCGCUGAAUUCACCUGUAAAUUGCGCAGUAAAUAACGUGACUGUGGAAAGGAAACUCACCCAAAGCACACCUCUCGGAAAAAAAUAAAAGAUAAGAAAAAAUAAAAAAGGACGCAGCGUUUUCCAGAGGCCAAGUUAUGACGAACGUGAAAAUAAAGACAUUGUUGCCGUUGUUAAAUUAAAAGCAAAGAUUCCCCUGAGCUUCUGAGGGAGACCGAGGAGAUCACGACCGCAUUAAGUCACCAUUCAUUCACCUCUUGUUAGACCGGGAAGGGAACCCAAAUAUAAAUAAACCUUAGACCGGGAAGGGAACCCAUAGAUAAAUAAACCAAGUCAAUGAUAACAAUAAUAAUAACAAGGGUAAUGAUCAUAAAUAAGUACGUUACAGUUAUGAACAAUCGGUGAACAGGACACAAAUUUGGCCAUAUAAUACUUUUGAAGCUACAGAAAAAAAAAAAAAAAAAAAAAAAAGUUAAUAAUAAUAGUGACAAUAAUAGCCAUAGUAAUAAUCAAUAAAUAAAUAAUAAUCGGUAUAGAGGACAUAGAUGCGUACUUUUCCAGACACAAGCUUGGCCAUCAUACUUUUGAAGCUAGAGAUAAAAAUAAUAACAACAAUAGUAAUGAUCAUAAGUAAUAAUAAUGUUCAAUAGGUAAAUAAGACACACUCAUAUACACUUUUCCAGACACAAACUUGGCCGUAAUAUUAUUUUUCCACCAUAAUUUUGAGGCUACAGUUUUGGGUUCGUACGAGGAGGCUGGGCCUAUUAGCCUCGGCUCACCUCGCCUCACCCCCAGAGCAAUGACUAAGGAAAGGCACCUCCACGCCACUCAAAACAACACUGUCAUCGCCGUUGCAGACCCGCACAAGCUCCACAACAGCCUAGUAGUAGUAGCAGUACCUCCAUAGUUAUCAUCGGAAUAUAUGUACACAAGACUGAUUGCCACUCGGUAACUGCAUUUCCUCCAGGACAUAGUAUAAAUUAAGCGGCUGGGGCACUCAGCAAUCAAGGUAGGGUAAGGUUUGGUGGUUACUACUCAGCAGGAUUCGGGACUGACCAAGCUGAUUAAAAGUAGUAGCUAUGAGAGAGGUAAACAAAGGAAGGGAGAGAGGGAGAAGGAAGGCAAGGACAGAAAGGGAUCAAGUUACUAUACAAAAGAGUAGGAUAGUAUUAGCUAAUGGGAUACGAGUGCAAGAAGAAAGGGCAGUAGUAGCUAUAAGGAUGAGAGUGCAAGAGGAGGAAAGUAGGAGAGCGGAGGAGACAAAAAGGGAAGUAAUGGGCAGAGAUAUCAAUGCCGGAGAAAAGGAGGGAGGAAGUUAGGAAAUAAAAGUUAACCGUAUGAAAAGGAAAUAACUGGGAUUAAAAAGGAUGAGGAGGGAAUUAGCAGGACAGAGUUGCACAGUAGGAAAAAAUGGGAAGGUAAGGGGAACAGAGGAGGGAGGGAAUGUAAGGAAAGUUUAACCAUAGGAAACGUAAGCAACCAACUGGGACAAAAAGAGAAGAGGGUCAUUGAAGGGCAGAGAAAGUUACGCAAUAGAAAAGACAACGGGAAGGUAAGGAGGACGAAGGAGGGAGGGAAUGUAAGGAAAGUUUAACCAUAGGAAACGUAAGCAACCAACUGGGACAAAAAGAGAAAAGAGGGUCAUUGAAGGGCAGAGAAAGUUACGCAAUAGAAAAGACAAUGGGAAGGUAAGGAGGACGAAGGAGGGAGGGAAUGUAAGGAAAGAUUGACCAUAGGAAAAGUAACCAACGCACUGGGACAAAAAGAGAAAAGAGGGUCAUUGAAGGGCAGAGAAAGUUACGCAAUAGAAAGAACAAUGGGAAGAUAAGGAUAAGGGAGUGUCAGUGUAUAGCUUAUCUUAUCAGUGAGCUAAUCAGGAGUAAACCAAAGUCUAGAAACAGGUAAACAGACACUGCCUAUGCACUACCCAAACUAACUGGUGAAGAACAGCCGUUACGUUCAAGACUUAAAAUCGUAAACAGAAGUUGAAUUAUGAAAAACGUCACCCCUUCUGCACUGAUCAUCUUUUCUUACUAAAUGAGACGAACAAACUAGGUGACCAAAACCCCAUUCACUCACUUUGGGUCAUAAACAGCCAUUACGUUCAGGACUUAAAAUCAUAAACAGAAGUCGAAUUAUGAAGAUGGUCACCCCUUCUGCACUGAUCAUCUUUUCUUACUAAAUGAGAUGAACAAACUAGGUGACCAAAACCCCAUUCACUCACUUUGAGUCAUAAACAUCUUUGGUGGAAUGUGAAAACCGCCCUCCCUGUUACACUGAUCCGCUUUCCGACUCUCUAACAAGUGUGUCAUGCUGCUGGACUAAUCAACAGGUCUUGGCUCCCUCACACUCAGCUUGGGGUUGGCAGAAGUUUUCACAUUUCAGAAUAGGACCAAGCAACAAGGUGUGAUGGAGAGAAAGAAAGAGCCUCGUACAUACAGCACAACAAGACUUGGAAGUUUUGGAAAUAGAGGAAGAGUUUAGGAAGAUGGAGGAGGAUCAUUACAAAUCUGACCCCCAAGAAUAGAUGGACCCACUGACCACCCAUCGCUGUGAAAACCAUAUCAAGAGAGAGAAUAAAAAUAGAGGUGUCCAAGUCAUUCCCAAUUGCAGAGUAGAAAACCACCGGUAAUCAAAUCAAAUACACCAUCAUAUAAUAAAUCAAGAUACGUAAUGCUGGUGACAAUAACACAAGAAACCACUACCACCUCUGUGCGCUAUUCUCUUAAAACGAGGGAUCACUUUUCUCAGCCCCGCACUUCCGAAUAGAAUCAACCUUUUACGGCUUCAUUUAGCUUCCCUUUUUUUUUUUUUUUUUUUUUUU